GUAGGGAAUCUUCGGCAAUGGACGAAAGUCUGACCGAGCAACGCCGCGUGAGUGAAGAAGGUUUUCGGAUCGUAAAACUCUGUUGGUAGAGAAGAACGUUGGUGAGAGUGGAAAGCUCAUCAAGUGACGGUAACUACCCAGAAAGGGACGGCUAACUACGUGCCAGCAGCCGCGGUAAUACGUAGGUCCCGAGCGUUGUCCGGAUUUAUUGGGCGUAAAGCGAGCGCAGGUGGUUUAUUAAGUCUGGUGUAAAAGGCAGUGGCUCAACCAUUGUAUGCAUUGGAAACUGGUAGACUUGAGUGCAGGAGAGGAGAGUGGAAUUCCACGUGUAGCGGUGAAAUGCGUAGAUAUAUGGAGGAACACCGGUGGCGAAAGCGGCUCUCUGGCCUGUAACUGACACUGAGGCUCGAAAGCGUGGGGAGCAAACAGGAUUAGAAACCCCGGUAGUCC
rnacentral:rRNA from 1 species